rnacentral:lncRNA from 1 species
CAGGAGCAGCGCCUCCAUCUCUCUGACACACAGCACAGUGUUUCUUAAGGAGAACAUCACUUUCUGGACUCGCAGAGGUAAGAUUUGACGGAGUUCUGAAGACUUCUGUGAAAAAUUAGGUAAAAGAUGUGAAAUAUAAUGAACAUUUGUCUUUGUUUGAAUCAGAAUCAAAGUGGAAAAAAUAUGGGGAACGAGCAUUCAAAGAGCAAAGAGCCAAACAAGAAUGAGCAGAUCCCUGAGAAGCAUGGAAACGGCCAGGUGAACGGCAUCUCUGCACACACCACACUCAACGGGUUUGAUGAGCGGAAGAUGGACGUGAAAACUGAAACCACCGUCCAACAAAACGGCGAGCCUCAUUCUUUGGUCAUUAUGACUGAAUCCACUGAUUUUGUGGUCAUCAAAUCAGACUGUCUGACCGCUACUGUUAGUUCUGAAGUCCCUAAGGACACCGCCGCCAUCACCUCCAACACCUCCAACACCAGCAGUCCCAUCAGCACCACCGCCAACAGCCCCAGCAUCCCCAUCAAGAAGGCGGAGGCCAAGAAGAGCAAAGAAGAAAAAACACAUCUCUUUGGCAAAGUGUUCAAAAAGAAAGCAGAAGCUAAAGCUGACGUGAAGAACGUGGAAGAGAAAGAGAAAGAAGAAGAGAGAAGUGAAGAUCAGGCAGAUGUAAGUCUUCCUCCCUCUGACCCACCACAGGAGACAGCUAACCCAAAGAAUCAGGAAUCUGAAGAAUCGUUAGCGGAGCCAGAAAGCGCGACUCCAGAGUCCUCCAGGACAGAGGAAGACAAAGUUCCUGAAACUGAGAGUGGAGACUGUCAGCCUGCGGAAGACAGGAGCGAAGAGAAUCCAGUUAUGAACUUCUUCAAAACCCUGGUGACUACCACAAAAACAUCCAAAAAGGAAACUCCCGAUGCCACGAAAGAUCAGGCUGCACCAGCCUUCGAACCUCCUGCAGCUCCUAAAGGAAUGUCCGUCCCACCGCCGCCUCCUCCAGAGCCUCCCAAACUGGAAACCAAAGCAGAAGCAGCUGCCAAGCCCGUGAAGCCGGCACCGAAAGAGGAACCCAAAGCUGCUGCAAAGGAAGCCGAGUCCUCCAAAGGAAAGUCAGCCAAAGAUGCUCUGAGCAAACUCUUCCGCCCAAAGUUACUGCUAGGAGUCAAGACAUCCAGAGGGAAAGGUGCUUCAGCGGGUGGAGCCACGGCCGCAGCAGUGAAGGUGGAUCCCUCAAAGUCUGGCACACUGGAGGCUGCUGCAAAACCAGAACCACCGCCACCUGUUCAGGAAGAGAAGAAGCCAGCCACGAAAUCCUCCUUCCUUUCCAUCUUCAAGCCCAAAGUAUUGUUAGAUCACAUGACCACAAAAGUCCAAGCAGCCUCCACAAGUGGAGUUCGGCUCCUCAGGAAAACUACUGGACUGGCUGCUGAGGCCAAGAAGGCGACCCCGGCUCCACCCGCAGCAGCAGCCGCCGCAGCAGCAGCAGAGGCCGCUCCAGCGGUGAAAGCCAAAGAGGAGACCAAAGCUGCAGCCAAAUCCACAGAGGUGGCGGCAGACAGCAAACCAGCGGCGGCGGCUUCCCAAGCUGCAGACGACGCAGCCAACCUGCCCAAACGGCUGGAGAAGAGGAACUCCAUCCAGCUGUUCUUCAAAAAUCUGGGUCAGAAGCGCCACUCCACAGACGCCGGUGUCCAGACAGAGCCGGCGAUCGCAGCUGCUGCAGCUGAGAAAGCCAAAUGAAAGCGACCCUCUCUGUACAGACAAGCCCCUCUGUCCUCCGUCUUCCUCUUACUCAAUCUUUAUGUCUCUCAUCACUUUAACUACAGUUGUUGUGUUUAGACGUUUAAAAGAAAAGCUCGCUGGAUGGAGGAAGGAACUGAGAGACAGGUCUGAAGCCUUCUUCGAUGGCCUGUUGUAUAUUUUUGUCCAAGCACAGUGAAAUUAGACUUUUCUGGGGACUUCUCUCUGUUUUUGCUAACUAACACGUAUGCACUAUAUAAGCAGCUUUGCUUUUUGGAUUUAAAGUGUCACUGGCUGUUUUUCAGUUCAUAGCAGAGGUUUUGUGCAGUUGUGGCAACGCAGGAGCUAAAAUGAACAUUGUACUUAAUCAACAGCUGACAGGAGCAUGUUUAUAGAGCAGAAAGCACUGACAGACCUAACUCUAUGUAAUAUAGAAACACAGACUGUAUGGGAAAUCACAAUCUUACUGUUCUGAGGGGAACUGAUUGUAAAUAUUCAUGUUAACACACACGUCCGAGGCGUCGCUGUGCACAUGUGUCCGUGUGGUUCACUGUGUCAUUUAACUGAAGUUGGUCUCAUGCUGUCAGUCGGUCCUGUUUUUAGCAUAUGUGCAAUUAAUGCUUUUGCGUGCCUAUGUGUAUGCGUGUAUGUGUAACUUCAGCUACCUAAAAGGC